rnacentral:rRNA from 1 species
AACGCUAGCUACAGGCUUAACACAUGCAAGUCGAGGGGCAGCAUGGUCUUAGCUUGCUAAGGCCGAUGGCGACCGGCGCACGGGUGAGUAACGCGUAUCCAACCUGCCUUACACUCUUGGACAGCCUUCUGAAAGGGAGAUUAAUACAAGAUGUUAUCAUGAGUAAGCAUCUUCGCAUGAUUAAAGGUUUACCGGUGUAAGAUGGGGAUGCGUCCCAUUAGAUAGUAGGCGGGGUAACGGCCCACCUAGUCUUCGAUGGAUAGGGGUUCUGAGAGGAAGGUCCCCCACAUUGGAACUGAGACACGGUCCAAACUCCUACGGGAGGCAGCAGUGAGGAAUAUUGGUCAAUGGACGAGAGUCUGAACCAGCCAAGUAGCGUGAAGGAUGAAGGUUCUAUGGAUUGUAAACUUCUUUUAUACGGGAAUAAACGAAUCCACGUGUGGAUUUUUGCAUGUACCGUAUGAAUAAGGAUCGGCUAACUCCGUGCCAGCAGCCGCGGUAAUACGGAGGAUCCGAGCGUUAUCCGGAUUUAUUGGGUUUAAAGGGAGCGUAGAUGGGUUGUUAAGUCAGUUGUGAAAGUUUGCGGCUCAACCGUAAAAUUGCAAUUGAUACUGGCAGUCUUGAGUACAGUUGAGGUAGGCGGAAUUCGUGGUGUAGCGGUGAAAUGCUUAGAUAUCACGAAGAACUCCGAUUG